UACGAAGGGGGCUAGCGUUGUUCGGAUUUACUGGGCGUAAGGCGCACGUAGGCGGAUCUUUAAGUCAGGGGUGAAAUCCCAAGGCUCAACCUUGGAACUGCCUUUGAUACUGGGGAUCUCGAGUCCGGAAGAGGUGAGUGGAACUGCGAGUGUAGAGGUGAAAUUCGUAGAUAUUCGCAAGAACACCAGUGGCGAAGGCGGCUCACUGGUCCGGUACUGACGCUGAGGUGCAAAAGCGUGGGGAGCAAACAGG
rnacentral:rRNA from 1 species